UAUAUUAUACAUAUAUAUAUAUUUAUACGCUGUCUCUCUCUUUUUAUUUUAUUUUAUUAUAUUACAUAUUACAGUAUAGUACAGUAUAAUAUAUAGUAUAUGGUUAUAUUUCAUAUUCAGUAAGAUUUGAAACGAAGAAAGGUAUUAAAAGUAAAUAAAUAAACAAAUAAAUAAACAAGAACAUUCACACCAAAUAUUACUUAUCUCGUGUGAAUACCUUUUUGUAGAUUAUCGUUACGUCAUUUGAAAGAUCCAAAAACAGAUUCGCCUACGUCAAAUAAACUCUCCUAGUGUCGUCACGUAUCUUUCGUGAUUAGAGUCAUGAUGAUAAGAGAGAGAGAGACGACGUUUAUUUUUCGCAUCAUCGAUUGUGCGAAAUACGUCACGGACACCUGUGAUCACUUUAAGGCAUCAUAACAAAUCUAAAGAACAUAAGACGCUACCGAAGGUAUUACGAGAUACAUAUGUACAUUAAGAGAUGAGGAUUGUAAAGA